rnacentral:rRNA from 1 species
CCUACGGGCGUCAGCAGUGGGGAAUAUUGCACAAUGGGGGAAACCCUGAUGCAGCGACGCCGCGUGAGCGAAGAAGUAUUUCGGUAUUUAAAACUCUAUCAGCAGGGAAGAAAAUGACGGUACCUGAGUCAUAAGCUCCGGCUAAAUACGUGCCAGCAGCCGCGGUAAUACGUAUGGAGCAAGCGUUAUACGGAUUUACUGGGCGUAAAGGGAGCGUAGGCGGGCUGCCAAGUCUGAUGUGAAAUAUCGGGGCUCAACCCCGAGGCUGCAUUUGAAACUGGCAGGCUGGAGUGCCGGAGAGGCAGGCGGAAUUCGUAGUGUAGCGGUGAAAUGCGUAGAUAUUAGGAGGAACACCAGUGGCGAAGGCGGCCUGCUGGACGGUGACUGACGCUGAGGCUCGAAAGCGUGGGGAGCAAACAGGAUUAGAUACCCUUGUAGUC